ACGCACGCUGGCGGCGUGCUUCACCCCUGCCAGUCGCACGGAAAGGCCCUGCUUUUGUGGGGUGCUCGAGUGGCGAACGGGGGAGUAACACGUGAGUAACCUGCCCUUGACUUUGGGAUAACUUCAGGAAACUGGGGCUAAUACCGGAUAGGAGCUCCUGCUGCAUGGUGGGGGUUGGAAAGUUUCGGCGGUUGGGGAUGGACUCGCGGCUUAUCAGCUUGUUGGUGGGGUAGUGGCUUACCAAGGCUUUGACGGGUAGCCGGCCUGAGAGGGUGACCGGCCACAUUGGGACUGAGAUACGGCCCAGACUCCUACGGGAGGCAGCAGUGGGGAAUAUUGCACAAUGGGCGGAAGCCUGAUGCAGCAACGCCGCGUGCGGGAUGACGGCCUUCGGGUUGUAAACCGCUUUCGCCUGUGACGAAGCGUGAGUGACGGUAAUGGGUAAAGAAGCACCGGCUAACUACGUG
rnacentral:rRNA from 1 species